rnacentral:rRNA from 1 species
CGGGUGAGUAACACGUGGAUAACCUACCUAUAAGACUGGGAUAACUUCGGGAAACCGAAGCUAAUACCGGAUAAUAUUUUGAACCGCAUGGUUCAAAAGUGAAAGACGGUCUUGCUGUCACUUAUAGAUGGAUCCGCGCUGCAUUAGCUGUUGGUAAGGUAACGGCUUACCAAGGCAACGAUGCAUAGCCGACCUGAGAGGGUGAUCGGCCACACUGGAACUGAGACACGGUCCAG